rnacentral:rRNA from 1 species
AACGAACGCUGGCGGCAUGCCUAACACAUGCAAGUCGAACGAGACCUUCGGGUUUAGUGGCGCACGGGUGCGUAACGCGUGGGAACCUGCCCUUAGGUUCGGAAUAACUCCCCGUAAGGUGUGCUAAUACCGGAUAAUGUCUUCGGACCAAAGAUUUAUCGCCUUUGGAUGGGGCCGCGUUGGAUUCGCUAGUUGGUAGGGUAAAAGCCUACCAAGGCGACGAUCCAUAGCUGGUCUGAGAGGAUGAUCAGCACCACUUGGACUGAGACACGGACCAGACUCCGACGGGAGGCAGCAGUGGGGAAUAUUGGACAAGGGGCGAAAGCCUGAUCCAGCAAUGCCGCGUGAGAGAGGAAGGCCUUAGGGUUGUAAAGCUCUUUUACCCGAGAUGAUAAUGACAGUACCGGGAGAAUAAGCACCGGCUAACUCCGUG